UCCGCCCGCUGGCGGCGUGCUUAACACAUGCAAGUCGAACGGAAAGGCCCUGCUUUUGUUGGGUGCUCGAGUGGCGAACGGGUGAGUAACAAGUGAGUAACCUGCCCUUGACUUUGGGAUAACGUCAGGAAACUGGGGCUAAUACCGGAUAGGAGCUCCUGCUGCAUGGUGGGGGAUGGAAAGGUUCGGCGGUUGGGGAUGGACUCGCGGGUUAUCAGCUUGUUGGUGGGGUAGUGGCUUACAAAGGCUUUGACGGGUAGCCGGCCUGGGAGGGUGACCGGCCACAUUGGGACUGAGAAACGGCCCAGACUCCAACGGGAGGCAGAGGUGGGGAAUAUUGCACAAUGGGCGGAAGCCUGAUGCAGCAACGCCGCGUGCGGGAUGACGGCCUUCGGGUUGUAAACCGCUUUCGCCUGUGACGAGGCGUGAGUGACGGUAAUGGGUAAAGAAGCACCGGCUAACUACGUG
rnacentral:rRNA from 1 species